CAUUAUUGAAUAUUCCUGAUGAGUUGUAGCUGGCUCUUUGGAGCAUGUGCACGCUUGUCUUGAUCUUAUUCAUCCACCUGUGCACAUUUUGUAGUCUUUUGGGCUGAGUCGAGUAUCGGAUGGAUGUCUAUCCGGAUGUGAGGACUGCUGAGUGCGAAAGCAUACGGCUCUUCUCUGUUUGACCUCACCCUUGAGUACUAUGUAUUCAUAUACCACAUAGUAUGUUGUAGAAUGUGAUCAUUGGGCCUUUGUGCCUAUAAUAAUCAUAUACAACUUUCAGCAACGGAUCUCUUGGCUCUCGCAUCGAUGAAGAACGCAGCGAAAUGCGAUAAGUAAUGUGAAUUGCAGAAUUCAGUGAAUCAUCGAAUCUUUGAACGCACCUUGCGCUCCUUGGUAUUCCGAGGAGCAUGCCUGUUUGAGUGUCAUUAAAUUCUCAACCCCACUAGCUUUUGUGAGCUAUGCUGGGGCUUGGAUGUUGGGAGUUUGCGGGCCUUUACUAGGUCGGCUCUCCUGAAAUACAUUAGCGGAACCGUUUGCAGUCCCGUCACUAGUGUGAUAAUUAUCUACACUGUGAUGACUGCUCUCUGACUAGUUCAGCUGCUAAUCGUCCACUGUGGACAAUCAUUAAUGAACUUCUUGACCUCAAAUCAGGUAGGACUACCCGCUGAACUUAAGCAUAUCAAUAA
rnacentral:rRNA from 1 species